AUUGAACGCUGGCGGCAUGCCUAACACAUGCAAGUCGAGCGGAUUAUCGGUGCUUGCUCCUGGCUUCAGCGGCGGACGGGUGUGUCAUACCUAGGAAUCUGCCUGGUAGUGGGGGAUAACGUCUGGAAACGGGCGCUACUUCCGCCUGCGUCCUGAGUGGGAAAGGGGUGGCUGUUGGGACCUGACGCCAUCCGGUGUGCCUAGGUCCGAUUAGCUAGUUGGUGGGGUAAAGGCCUACCAAGGCGACGAUCCGUAACUGGUCUGCGAGGAUGACCAGUCACACUGGAACUGAGACACGGUCCAGACUCCUACGGGAGGCAGCAGUGGGGAAUAUUGGACAAUGGGCGAAAGCCUGAUCCAGCCAUGCCGCGUGUGUGAAGAAGGUCUUCGGAUUGUAAAGCACUUUAAGUUGGGAGGAAGGGCAGUAAGUUAAUACCUUGCUGUUUUGACGUUACCAACAGAAUAAGCACCGGCUAACUUCGUG
rnacentral:rRNA from 1 species